CGCAGGUCUCAACUUCCUCUACCCUUAAAGGGGCACUAAACUACUGGAAAACCGAACUUCCUAAUAUUUAUCAUACCUGGAACCUGAAGAGAGGCUAAGGAGAUACAAAAGUGAAUGCGCUCAGCAACCAGUGGAGCCUCCUGUGACUGGCAGCAGGAACUCCUUGACCUCUGGCACAAACAUCCAGAAUUGGGUUCCAGUCAGUUGGUACAGGAAGAAGAGGUCUACCUUCACCUGGCUUCCUCUCCCCUCUACCAGGGUUAUGUUUGAACCUGCUCACAAUCCCCACUCUCUUUCCUAGCAUUUAUCCCUUUUUAAUGUCUUCAAAUACAGUCUGUCUCCUCCAUUAGAUUGUAAA